rnacentral:rRNA from 1 species
GAGUUUGAUCAUGGCUCAGGAUGAACGCUGGCGGCGUGCUUAACACAUGCAAGUCGAACGAACGACUAUUAACAGAACCUUUCGGGGCGAAGAUGAUAGAAGUUAGUGGCGGACGGGUGCGUAACGCGUGGGUAAUCUGCCUUUGUCAAAGGAAUAACUAUUCGAAAGAAUAGCUAAAACCGUAUAACAUAUUAAUAGGGCAUCCUAAUAAUAUCAAAACGAUAGUGGACAAAGAUGAGCCCGCGUCUGAUUAGCUAGUUGGUGAGAUAAAAGCCCACCAAGGCAACGAUCAGUAGCCGACCUGAGAGGGUGAACGGCCACAUUGGAACUGAGACACGGUCCAAACUCCUACGGGAGGCAGCAGUGGGGAAUAUUGCACAAUGGGGGGAACCCUGAUGCAGCAACGCCGCGUGAGUGAAGAAGGCAUUCGGGUCGUAAAAACUCUGC